rnacentral:lncRNA from 1 species
GUUUAUGAAAAUGGCUCUCGGUAUCAACCCAGGAUGGGGCUGGAGAUCCUCCUUCAUCCCUGCACCCUUAUAUCACAGAGCUUUUCAGCCCUUCUCUAGCAUCUUUCCUUUGUAAGAGGAGACAUGUCUAGGUAGAAUGGAUUUGUUUCCCAUUUCAGGGAACAAACAAGAGUGCCCCAAAGAAGUUCUGAGAGGACUAUUAUCAGUGAUUGCCACAUUGAUUCAUUGGAUCAUAUAACCUUAGGGGUGUGCCUUCACUCUUUAUCUGACCUUCUUCUGGAUACAGCAAACACUUGUGGACCAGCUGCACUGAAGCAUUAAACAAGGCGACCAUCCUAUUCUAUUUCCUGUGUAUUUUCUAUAUUGCAUGUCUUCUUCCAAAGUU